rnacentral:rRNA from 1 species
CAGCAGCCGCGGUAAUACGGAGGAUGCGAGCGUUAUCCGGAUUUAUUGGGUUUAAAGGGUGCGUAGGCGGCCUGUUAAGUCAGCGGUGAAAUCUAGGAGCUUAACUCCUAAAUUGCCAUUGAUACUGGCGGGCUUGAGUGUAGAUGAGGUAGGCGGAAUGCGUGGUGUAGCGGUGGAAUGCAUAGAUAUCACGCAGAACUCCGAUUGCGAAGGCAGCUUACUAAGGUACAACUGACGCUGAAGCACGAAAGCGUGGGUAUCAAACAGGAUUAGAUACCCUGGUAGUCCACGCAGUAAACGAUGAUAACUGGGCGUAUGCGAUAUACAGUAUGCUCCUAAGCGAAAGCGUUAAGUUAUCCACCUGGGGAGUACGCCGGCAACGGUGAAACUCAAAGGAAUUGACGGGGGCCCGCACAAGCGGAGGGACAUGUGGUUUAAUUCGAUGAUACGCGAGGAACCUUACCCGGGAUUGAAAUGUAGAUGACCGCUCCUGAAAGGGAGUUUUCCUUCGGGACAUCUAUGUAGGUGCUGCAUGGUUGUCGUCAGCUCGUGCCGUGAGGUGUCGGCUUAAGUGCCAUAACGAGCGCAACCCCUGUCUACGGUUGCCAUCAGGUGAUGCUGGGAACUCCGUAGAGACUGCCGUCGUAAGGCGUGAGGAAGGUGGGGAUGACGUCAAAUCAGCACGGCCCCUACAUCCCGGGCGACACACGUGUUACAAUGGUAAGGACAAAGGGCAGCUACCUGGCGACAGGAUGCGAAUCUCUAAACCUUAUCACAGUUCGGAUCGGAGUCUGCAACUCGACUCCGUGAAGCUGGAUUCGCUAGUAAUCGCGCAUCAGCCAUGGCGCGGUGAAUACGUUCCCGGGCCUUGUACACCACCGCCCGUCAAGCCAUGGGAGUCUGGAGUACCUAAAGUCCGUAACGCCAAGGGUCGGCCUAGGGUAAUACAGGUGACUGGGGCUAAGUCGUAACAAGGUAGCCGU